rnacentral:rRNA from 1 species
UACGGAGGGGGCAAGCGUUGUUCGGAAUUAUUGGGCGUAAAGAGUAUGUAGGCGGUUAGAUAAGUCAGGUGUGUAAGCCCAGGGCUCAACCCUGGAAUUGCAUUUGAAACUGUUUAACUUGAGUUCAGGAGAGGAAAGCGGAAUUCCCAGUGUAGCGGUGAAAUGCAUUGAUAUUGGGAAGAACAUCGGUGGCGAAGGCGGCUUUCUGGUCUGAUACUGACGCUGAGAUACGAAAGCUAGGGGAGCGAACGGGAUUAGAUACCCCGGUAGUCCUAGCUGUAAACGAUGGGUACUAGGUGUAGGAGGUAUCGAUCCCUCCUGUGUCGCAGCUAACGCAUUAAGUACCCCGCCUGG